rnacentral:lncRNA from 1 species
GGACAGCUUGGUAGGUGCUAGACCAAUAUUUAUUUAGUGGGAAAGUAAGACAUCCUCGUUGGAUACAAACAAAAAAAUAGUAACAAACACCAUUGCACACCACUUCCAAUUUGGCAUCAAAUAGGGAGGAAAAUUCUUAUGGUGGAGUGGCAUAGCGCCCACCUGUGUAGGAUUCUCAAACUUCACAUAAUGAUACUUUAAUU